UUUGACUGAUCUGAUUUUUUUGAAAACAGGGCUUCAACUUGGGUUUGUAACAUUGUAACGAAGACCCCAAUCAACAAGGUAACAGCUGGUCUGCAAGCAUAAUUUUAAUAAGAAACUCCUUUCUGAUGCAUAAUUUUCCGAAAUAUUGAAAAUCCUUCUGGAUAUCAAAAUUUGUAUCUUUCAUGAUCUUUACAUGAAGAGGGUCCUCCUGAUCUCUGCAGCAUGAAUGUCCUGAGCAGUCCUGGUCCUGGAAGAACUGCAGUAGAUACAGAGAAGAGCAAUAAGGAUGAUCAAAGGAGUACCAAUAAUGCCAAAGAUGCUACACUAUAAACGAUCGAAUUUUACUGAGAAGCUCUGGAGCACGUCACAAAACAAAGAAAAGAAAACAUGAUGACUGGAAGCAUGAAUGACAGUGACAGGAAGCAUGUGGAAAAAUGGCCAGGAGAAGGGCCGGUUGCAGCGGGUGCUCUGGUUGAGGCCACGCCGGCGAGUCAUGGCGUCUCUCAAAGCAGGCGUGACACCUCCUACAACAUCAGACUUAGCCUCACCCUGCCUGAAAGCAACUCUCUGCCCAAGCUAGGAGUAUCUAAGUUGACUUCUAAACUCAGUACCAAGCCCAUUUUUAAUUGGCAAGUUGAUCGUGUGAAAAUGCUGACUGAACGUCAUUCGAUGAGCUUAAGGCUUCCACAGACAUCUAAGGCUAUGGAAGUAACCAUACCAGACGAAAACCACAGAUCCUUCUGGCCCAGCUCCUCAUCUCUGACAGUAACCAAGAAUGAAUCCAAGGAAGUAUAUAUGAACACAGUAUAUGAAUCGGCACUUUUUUAGUGAGCUCAGACAGCCUACAGCAAUCCUUGGCACAGGAACUUCCUGAGAAAAAAUGUGACGUGCUUCCGUCUUACAGCAGAGUGCAAGCUGAGAGUUAUAACACGGAAAUUUUGUGACAUUAUAUGCAUAUAUGACCAACAAGAAGUAUUUUUCUGUGGAACCAUGCAAAACACAUGAUUUAUCUGAGUGAACCUACAUGAUUCUAAAAUUUAAAUAUCUUCCAGUCUUUGUACAUUUCAUAUUGUGUUUAAAAAUAGGAUUUAUUUUUAAGACAACGCCACUUUUCUUUAACUUAGUAGUAACACAAUUAGCAAAAUAAAUGAUUUUAAAAGAUAAAUGCUAAUUAAAGUGAAAUCUACUAUAGUUACUACAUUUGAAUUCUGUGUAUCUGACAAAAGAAAUAAAGUUUAAAUAACUUUAGUAC
ensembl:lncRNA